AAAUUGAAGAGUUUGAUCAUGGCUCAGAUUGAACGCUGGCGGCAGGCCUAACACAUGCAAGUCGAACGGUAACAGGAAGCAGCUUGCUGCUUCGCUGACGAGUGGCGGACGGGUGAGUAAUGUCUGGGAAACUGCCUGAUGGAGGGGGAUAACUACUGGAAACGGUGGCUAAUACCGCAUAACGUCGCAAGACCAAAGAGGGGGACCUUCGGGCCUCUUGCCAUCAGAUGUGCCCAGAUGGGAUUAGCUUGUUGGUGAGGUAACGGCUCACCAAGGCGACGAUCCCUAGCUGGUCUGAGAGGAUGACCAGCCACACUGGAACUGAGACACGGUCCAGACUCCUACGGGAGGCAGCAGUGGGGAAUAUUGCACAAUGGGCGCAAGCCUGAUGCAGCCAUGCCGCGUGUAUGAAGAAGGCCUUCGGGUUGUAAAGUACUUUCAGCGGGGAGGAAGGUGUUGUGGUUAAUAACCGCAGCAAUUGACGUUACCCGCAGAAGAAGCACCGGCUAACUCCGUGCCAGCAGCCGCGGUAAUACGGAGGGUGCAAGCGUUAAUCGGAAUUACUGGGCGUAAAGCGCACGCAGGCGGUCUGUCAAGUCGGAUGUGAAAUCCCCGGGCUCAACCUGGGAACUGCAUUCGAAACUGGCAGGCUUGAGUCUUGUAGAGGGGGGUAGAAUUCCAGGUGUAGCGGUGAAAUGCGUAGAGAUCUGGAGGAAUACCGGUGGCGAAGGCGGCCCCCUGGACAAAGACUGACGCUCAGGUGCGAAAGCGUGGGGAGCAAACAGGAUUAGAUACCCUGGUAGUCCACGCCGUAAACGAUGUCUACUUGGAGGUUGUGCCCUUGAGGCGUGGCUUCCGGAGCUAACGCGUUAAGUAGACCGCCUGGGGAGUACGGCCGCAAGGUUAAAACUCAAAUGAAUUGACGGGGGCCCGCACAAGCGGUGGAGCAUGUGGUUUAAUUCGAUGCAACGCGAAGAACCUUACCUGGUCUUGACAUCCACAGAAGAAUCCAGAGAUGGAUUUGUGCCUUCGGGAACUGUGAGACAGGUGCUGCAUGGCUGUCGUCAGCUCGUGUUGUGAAAUGUUGGGUUAAGUCC
rnacentral:rRNA from 1 species